rnacentral:lncRNA from 1 species
UUCCAAUGAUCUACAAGUAUCCGAUGAACAACAUUGUAGAAUGAUAGUUCCUCAUCUUGAGCUUUUUUCUCAUGCCUAUAAAUUAUUUCUCUCACUUUCUCAAUCAUCGUAUCUCACAUGUCGUAAACCAAGUGAAGGCAAGGUUCAUCCAAAUCUUUCAUUUCAUCGGAACAAUCAACUGCUUUUAAAAAUAUUAGUCCACUCUCGGUCACCGCCAUAAAAUUAAUGAGUGGCCUUCUUUGUGGAUCACUCCAUCCAUCACUUAUAAUGGUAACUCAUUUUUCCACCCAUGUGCCCUUAAUUGGAUAUAAUUAGUUUUCCACAUUUUUUCUCUCUUUUUUAAGAAGAGUGGUUCUCAACUUGUUAUAACCGGGAGGCAAAUACGCCGAAAUUCGACUAUUGGAAGCAAGAGUAUAAGAACUAAUAUAAUAAGGAUUUCUCGCAAAAGUAAAAGGCAAACCACUUGAAUAAAACAUUCUAGCAAUUUCGGAAUCCAAUUGUUCACGUGUAGUCACAUUAAAAGAAUUUUUUAUUGCAUUAUUCUUUCUUUUCUUUUCCUCCAAAACAUAACAAUCCUUAGAACCCAUAUUAUCCGACGGCAAUGGCACUCUUUUUCCCACCUUAGUUUGCAUUCUCAACUUGGCUUCAUCUUCCAUUUUUUGCAUUUCACAUAUAUCUUUCACAGUUACUUUUUCACAAGCACCAAUUCCAUAGCUUGUAGUUUAAACAAAUGUGCUCACUCUUGUGUAUGAACUUAUCUUAGUUGCAUUACAAAAAUUGCAUUGCCAAAGAACGUUACCAACCUUUCUAUUAAAUUUAUCAAGUUUUGUAACAUAUUUCCAAAGUGAUUUAGACAAAUCAUCAUCCAUAGCAUUACUGUUGGAUUUUAUGCGCAAUAUUAAAGAGAUGAAAAAGAAAAUCAACACAAGAAUUUAUGUGGUUCGACGGUGUACCUACGUCCAUGAGAGCAAAGCGGAGAUUAUUUUAU